rnacentral:rRNA from 1 species
CCUACGGGAGGCAGCAGUGGGGAAUAUUGGGCAAUGGAGGAAACUCUGACCCAGCGACGCCGCGUGAGGGAUGAAGGCCUUCGGGUUGUAAACCUCUUUCAGUAGGGAAGAAGCGAAAGUGACGGUACCUACAGAAGAAGCACCGGCUAACUAUGUGCCAGCAGCCGCGGUAGUACAUAGGGUGCAAGCGUUGUCCGGAAUUAUUGGGCGUAAAGAGCUCGUAGGUGGUUCGAUACGUCGGAUGUGAAAAUCAGGGGCUCAACCCCUGACCUGCAUCCGAUACGGUCGAGCUAGAGUUUGGUAGGGGAGACUGGAAUUCCUGGUGUAGCGGUGGAAUGCGCAGAUAUCAGGAGGAACACCGAUGGCGAAGGCAGGUCUCUGGGCCAAUACUGACACUGAGGAGCGAAAGCGUGGGGAGCGAACAGGAUUAGAUACCCUGGUAGUCCACGCCGUAAACGGUGGGCGCUAGUUGUGCGAACCUUCCACGGUUUGUGCGACGCAGCUAACGCAUUAAGCGCCCCGCCUGGGGAGUACGAUCGCAAGAUUAAAACUCAAAGGAAUUGACGG